rnacentral:lncRNA from 1 species
UGUAAAUAUUACUUGUUCAGUUAAACUGAGUUGAUUUGUGAAAGGGAAUGAAGGAAAAAAUGCAUGUAUAUGUAGGUUUAUAAAAUGUUAGGGAUAGAGAGACAGAUCCUUGCUCUUUGAAACUCAUGCCUAAUUCAGCUGUACUCACCGAUUUUAUCCCAUCUUGUGUAAGAACUUUCUGUCACCUCAAAUGCCUACAUUGCUGUAGGGAAGAUGGUAAAUAGUAAAAUGAUUAAAAGUGUAAACACUAAGGAAAAUUAAUAGAAUGUUAAACAGGAUAAUAUUUGUUUAGUAGUUUCAGCUCUGUGAGAUAAGAUGAAUUAAUUGUGAGUGCUAGUAUUAUAAUAAUCCAGUGAAGAAAGUUUACCUGUAGGAUUAAAGGAAAGACAAAAUAAGCAUGUUAAUGACCAUAUAUUUAUUUUCCUUUAUCCACUUAUUUUUUUUAAUUUAACACAGAAGCAGUAUAUGUUUAUUUGAUAUAUUUCCUGCCUGCCUCAUUUUUCUUUUUCAUUAAGAGAAGAAUGCGAUAUAUAUUCAUAUAUAUUCACUUAAUUACCAUGCACCCAAAUUACAGAAUAAUAUGAAGCCAUUAAAAAGAAAUUAUUGACAUGGAAAGAUCUCUAAGACAUUGUUAGUUUUAAAAUAAUAAAACAAUAAAGCAAGUCAUAAAACA